UACGUAGGGCGCAAGCGUUGUCCGGAAUCAUUGGGCGUAAAGAGCUCGUAGGCGGCUCAGUAAGUCGGGUGUGAAACCCCCAGGCUCAACCUGGGGACGCCACCCGAUACUGCUGUGGCUAGAGUCCAGUAGGGGAGUGUGGAAUCCCCGGUGUAGCGGUGAAAUGCGCAGAUAUCGGGAGGAACACCAGCGGCGAAGGCGGCACUCUGGGCUGGAACUGACGCUGAGGAGCGAAAGCGUGGGUAGCAAACAGG
rnacentral:rRNA from 1 species